GGGUAUAGCUCAGUGGUAUAGUGCUUGUCUAGCAUUCGUGAUGUCCUGGGUUCAAUCCCCAGUACUUCCA
rnacentral:tRNA from 1 species